GGUGGCAUGGUCGAGUGGUAAGGCGGGGGAUUGCAAAUCCUAUGUCCCCAGUUCAUAUUUAGGUGUCGCCU
rnacentral:tRNA from 1 species